rnacentral:rRNA from 1 species
UGCAAGUCGAGCGGACAGAUGGGAGCUUGCUCCCUGAUGUUAGCGGCGGACGGGUGAGCUAACACGUGGGUAACCUGCCUGUAAGACUGGGAUAACUCCGGGAAACCGGGGCUAAUACCGGAUGCUUGUUUGAACCGCAUGGUUCAAACAUAAAAGGUGGCUUCGGCUACCACUUACAGAUGGACCCGCGGCGCAUUAGCUAGUUGGUGAGGUAAUGGCUCACCAAGGCAACGAUGCGUAGCCGACCUGAGAGGGUGAUCGGCCACACUGGGACUGAGACACGGCCCAGACUCCUACGGGAGGCAGCAGUAGGGAAUCUUCCGCAAUGGACGAAAGUCUGACGGAGCAACGCCGCGUGAGUGAUGAAGGUUUUCGGAUCGUAAAGCUCUGUUGUUAGGGAAGAACAAGUACCGUUCGAAUAGGGCGGUACCUUGACGGUACCUAACCAGAAAGCCACGGCUAACUACGUGCCAGCAGCCGCGGUAAUACGUAGGUGGCAAGCGUUGUCCGGAAUUAUUGGGCGUAAAGGGCUCGCAGGCGGUUCCUUAAGUCUGAUGUGAAAGCCCCCGGCUCAACCGGGGAGGGUCAUUGGAAACUGGGGAACUUGAGUGCAGAAGAGGAGAGUGGAAUUCCACGUGUAGCGGUGAAAUGCGUAGAGAUGUGGAGGAACACCAGUGGCGAAGGCGACUCUCUGGUCUGUAACUGACGCUGAGGAGCGAAAGCGUGGGGAGCGAACAGGAUUAGAUACCCUGGUAGUCCACGCCGUAAAACGAUGAGUGCUAAGUGUUAGGGGGUUCCCGCCCC